ensembl:rRNA 5S_rRNA 5S ribosomal RNA
GCUUACGGCCAUACCAGCCCUGAGAACGCCCGAUCUCGUCUGAUCUCGGAAGCUAAGCAGGGUCGGGCCUGGUUAGUACUUGGAUGGGAGACCGCCUGGGAAUACCAGGUGCUGUAAGCU